rnacentral:lncRNA from 1 species
AGGCCUUGGUGUCAGGCCAGGAGCGACCCAGGUGUGCUGCUGUCCAUGUAGGAUUUUUAAGUGACAGGCUGCUUGCAGCACAGGGGUCACCUGCUUAAGAAAGGAGUAGGCCCCAGGUGCAAACAGGGUCUGCAGGCUCCUUCAGUGGUGCCCCAGCUCUCCCUCUCCCACCACAGUACACACCCACCCUGAGUAAGAAAGCAGUCGUUUCUUCAACUGAAGGGGGCUACCCUGCAAGUGUGGGUUGCCUGGACCCUGGCCUUAGGGCAGGCUUCUUAAAACGGAAUCUCAGUUGUCCAAAUUGAGAAGAUCUAGCUGUGUGCCCUUGUGCCUGUUAGCCCUGCAAAAAAGGAUACUGCCCUGCAAACUACCUGAUGUGACCUGGGCAGCUGGUGAUGGUGCCUGUCUUUGUCCACGCCAGCCAUCUCUACCCUUCCCUUCCUGUAUAGAGCCCCAGCCUUCAACUUUCCAGAAACAAGCCCAACUAACAGCUAACUUAGUGUGUCUCCUUCCUGCCCACAGUUUUCUCCCUGUUAAAACAAUGUGUGUUAACUGCUUUGCCUUAUUUCCUGUAGUAUAGAAAUCCUACCUUUCCAAACCUCUCAAGUACAAAUUCUUCAUAUGGAAACUUUGUGUACUGCUGAGUGACACCAGGAGCUUUAGAACAUCCCUCCCUUUGGGUUGGGGUAGAGUGUCACAAAGUUUCACGACUCCUCUAGAGAUAGCUCCAAAUAUAAACUUCACCACUGAGCAGGUAGGCGUCCUUUCAUGCUUGGAGCUGGGAACAACUGUGGAAGAGUUCUGUCCUCUCCUGGAACUUCAGGAGUGAGGACAGCUUGUACAGUUAGGUCACUACACUAAGUGUAGUGCGUUGGCAGGUGAAGGUAGGCAAGAUCUGGCUUGAGCCAGGAUCAGUGGCCUUCCUUGUCCUCCCUUCCUGCCUUUGAAUCUUUUCUGCUACUUCUGGCUGGUGAUCACUUGGGAUCAUCUCCUACUUCCAGGGUACAAGCAGGGAAAUCCAGAGCAUGAAUGCUGGUAUGGUAAAACACACCUCUGGUCUCAGCACUAGGCAGGCUGAGACGGGAGGCUCGUGGUGUGAGCCAGCCUGGGCUACACAGAGACCAGUCCAAGUUGAAUAAUGGGACCUUGUCAUAUACACACUCAUACAAGUAGAAGUAACCAUAACAACAACAAUAAUAAUGUCAAAGCAAGAACAGAAGUAGUAGACUAUUCCCCCGACACUCAUUCAUGGUCCUAUGUUGCUCCCUAACCAAAGGGGCAGGGCAAGGAAGACCAAAAAUAGUGGGUUCUAAAAAGCAGGGCUGGAGAGAUGGCUCAACAGUUAAAAGCACCCACUGCUCCUGUAUAGAACCCGAGUUCAGCUCCCAGCAUUCACACUGGGCCACUCACAGUGGCUAUGACACAGCUCCAGAGACUCUGAUGCCCUCUUCUGGGUUCCAUGAGCCCAUGUACUUACAUGCACAUACCCCACACAGACACGCACAAGCACACGCACACACAAUUAAAAAUAAAAACAGUGAUGAAAGCCUAUUGCUGUGAGAGGCUAGCACUAGGGAUCCCCACUCUGUAACCUGGCAGACACCCAGACAUAAAACC